rnacentral:rRNA from 1 species
GGAUAACUACGGAAAAGCUGUAGCUAAUACUUGCUUUAGCACUCUUGAUUAAGUUCUUGAGUGUGUACUUGUUAAGCCUUUUAAGAAAAAAGUUAUUAACUUAAGGAAUUAUAACAAAGAAGUAACACGUAAUGGAUCCGUCCAUUUUUAGUGUGUAUCAAUCGAGUUUCUGACCUAUCAGCUUUUGAUGUUAGGGUAUUGGCCUAACAUGGCUAUGACGGGUAACGGGGAAUUAGAGUUCGAUUCCGGAGAGGGAGCCUGAGAAAUAGCUACCACAUCUAAGGAAGGCAGCAGGCGCGUAAAUUACCCAAUUCUAAAGAAGAGAGGUAGUGACAAGAAAUAACAAUACAAGGCCAAUCUGGCUUUGUAAUUGGAAUGAUGGGAAUUUAAAACCUUCCCAAAACUCAAUUGGAGGGCAAGUCUGGUGCCAGCAGCCGCGGUAAUUCCAGCUCCAAUAGCGUAUAUUAAAAUUGUUGCAGUUAAAACGCUCGUAGUUGAAUUUCAAAGAAUCGAUAUUUUAAGUAACGCUUUUAGCUUAAUCCACAUAACUGAUACUACGUAUCGACUUUGUGCGCAUUUUGCUAUUAUGUGUUCUUUUAAUUAAAAUGAUUCUUUUUAAGAUCUUUCUCUUGCUUCGGCAUUUGAAGAUCUUGUUACUUUGAGUAAAUUAGAGUGUUCAAAGCAAACAGAUAUAGCAUUGCGCGUUUGAAUACUACAGCAUGGAAUAACAAAAUUGAACAAGUCAGAAUUUUGUUCUUUUUUCUUAUUUUGGCUUAGUUACGAUUAAUAGGAGUAGCUUGGGGGCAUUUGUAUUCAGAUGUCAGAGGUGAAAUUCUUAGAUUUUCUGGAGACAAACAACUGCGAAAGCAUUUGCCUAAAAUACUUCCAUUAAUCAAGAACGAAAGUUAAGGGAGUGAAGACGAUCAGAUACCGUCGUAAUCUUAACCAUAAACUAUGCCGACUAGGCUUUGGAUGAAAGAUUUUAAAAUAAGAGAUUUUCUCUUCGGAGUUAAUC